rnacentral:lncRNA from 1 species
AACUUUAGGCUUUAGCAAUAUAAAAAUACAGCCUUUGAUGCAGACACAGGCCUUGAUCUGAGUCUCAGUUUCCUUAUCUCUGUAAAUAGGGAUGUUAUGAGAAGGAGAAGUAAAUAAUGUUUAGCAAGCACUUUGAUAUUUAUGACCAGUGGCUGUAAACAGUUAUUAAAAAGUCAUUGAACAGGUCAGAAUGGCAGGUGCAGUGGUGUGGCCAGAGCGAGCCAGAAAAGCAGGAUCUUUCUGCCUCUGGAGAAAGAGAUACAUGUGAAAAUGUUCUAUUCCUGAUUAAACAUUUUAUUUUUAAAUGUUUACAGUUAAGAGUUAGGAUUCCACUAGCAUCCAUGAGGAUGUGGGUUUGAUCCCUAGCCUUGCUCAGUGGAUUAAAGGAUCCGGCGUUGCAGUGAACUGUGAUGAAGGUUGCAGACGCAGCUUGGAUCCACUGUUGCUGUGGCUGUGGUGUAGGCCGGCGGCUAUAGCUCCGAUUGGACCCCUAUCCUGGGAACCUCCAUAUGCCAUGGGCGCGGCCUUAAAAAGGCAAAAGACCAAAAAAAAAAAAAAAAUUUCCAUUGGUAGAUUUUUGUAUAUUUCAAAAUAUACAAGAAACUCUGUAGUUCAGUUUUUGAAUACAGAUAAGUUGAUUCUUUCUCUCUCCUUUCUGACUUUAUUUUAUUUUUUUGUUUUAUGGUCACAACUGCUUUUGCGGCAACACCGGAUCCUCAGCCCACUGAACAAGACUAGGGAUCAAACUCACAUCCUUACAGAGACAAUGUCGGGUCCUUAACCUGCUGAGCCACAAUGGGAACUCUGAUUAUUUCUGUAUAUACAGUGGCAUGGAUUCUGAUUUUCCCACAGUAAAGGUAACUCUUGGAAAAGACAGCAAGUGCUGUAGUUCUUUGUACAGGAAAAGUGAGGAUGUCUUGAGAGUUGCACUUUGGAGUGUGGAGUGGAUGGUUGGACGAGGAGCUCUGGUUGUACCCUCUCUGGCCCCAGUUCUGCCUCUGCUAGCUGCCUGUGUGAACCUGGAGUCACUUUUGCUCCAUCCUUUGGCUCUAUUUGACCUUAGACAGAUCACCUGGAUUUUUUUGGCUUCACCUAUUUAGAAAAUUUUGAGGGUGUUAGAGAAACCCCUUUUGAGUCCUAGUGAAUAUUAAUAGUAAAAUCUGUGAUUUGGAGAGUAGUAGCAGAAGUUACUAUGCAAAAUAAGUUGGCAUUUAUCAGAGAGUGAUUUGCUUUGUGAGAGCAAUUUGAUGCUUGUACUGGAUUUAGUAGUUUACUGCUAAAACAGAUCGAAAUUAUGAGUGAUUCAUCAUUUUAAUAGGAUUUUACAAGGUACUUGGAAUGAACCCAAGCAUUCUAUGUAUUUCUGUAAGUUAAGGCUUAGUUGCUAUCAGACUGCUGCUUUUAACUGUUUUCGUGCUGACUGGGCUUGUAGCCCCCUCUCCUCAUGGAGGGAAGAAAGUACACAUCAGCUAGUGGUUGGGUGCAUGUGCUGGUAAGCCAAGGGUCCUUCUUAAAAAUGCUUUGAAAUUUCAUCUGGAUGAAAAAUCACAUUUCUAAAUUUGAAGACGACUUCUGAGCAGAGAAAAACUUUAUAAAGCAUGCAUGGCACAUUUACAAAUGUUUUGAAAAAACUGACUGUGAUUUGGUGUGAUUAUUUGUCCCUGUAUCCCCAUAUGUCACACAUUGCCUUUUUACCCCGGGGAGUAACCAUAUUGCAUUAUUUGUGAUCCUUUGGAGUUGUAUGAAAUGAUAAUUUAACUUUUCAGAUGUGGUUAAUCCACGGGCCCGCUUCCUAACUAUUAACAUGCACGGCAUGACAGGCCUAACUGUUUCCAGGUGUGAUUGGGGGCUGCGGACGGUAAAUUACUCUAGAUUAUCUUGGCCACUGUAAUUUACUGCAAAACUGCACCUUUGGCAUCAGCGGUUGAAGAGAGCAUGUUAACAUUAACUCCACUUGAGAUACAUUUUACAUGAAAUAAGCUAAUUGCCUUUUUGGAGACGAUUAAGUGUUUAUAUUUUAUAAUCCUCUUUGGAACUCUGUCUUGUCUUUUGCAUAGCUGAGGUUGUGUUAGUAAGCAGACCUUGAUUGAUGCGCUCUGGGUGUGUUUUGUGAGACCUCCUGCAGUUCAGGAGUUCUCUGUGCUCUUCUGCUGCUUUUCUCCCCUCAGUCCCACAUUUUUUUUUGUUUUUGUUUUUGGUCUUUUUGCCAUUUCUUGGGCUGUUCCUGCGGCAUAUGGAGGUUCCCAGGCUAGGGGUCCAAUCGGAGCUGUAGCCACCAGCCUAUGCCAGAGCCACAGUAACUUGGGAUCCAAGCCGCGUCUGCAACCUACACUGCAGCUCAUGGCAAUGCCGGAUCCUUAACCCACCGAGCAAGGCCAGGGAUCGAACCCGCAACCUCAUGGUUCCCAGUCGGAUUUAUUAACCACUGAACCACGACGGGAACUCCUCGCCUCAGUCCCACUUUGCUCCUCGCCCUGGUCCAGAGAACAGCCAUGCUCUGACCCCCACCCUGGCCCAUCUCUGUUCCUGGAAUGAAGUCUCAUCUGCCUCCAAAAAAGACUCAGCCCUGAUCAAGGCCUAAGAGGCCCCUUUAACUCUCUCACCAUUGUUUUUAGCAGCAGAAAUCCUCAGAGGUCUGGAGGGCUUGUAGUUAGGAAGACACAGAUAGGUGAGGUCUGUUUUGUAGCUGGCCAGAGGCAGAGUGAGAUUCUGGGCAAAUCUGGCCAGUGAGGUGCCAUGAAGGAGGCUGCAGACUGGCCCUGGACACUGGUCACACACUGGUUAGCCCCGGCUCACUGUUCGCCUCAAGCUCAGCAGUUCCUAUGCUUGGCCUGGUCUGUAGCCACGCUCAGUCCUUCCCCACCAAUUCCUGUCCCAUUAUCUCUCCUGGAACAUCUCCUGUGUCCCCAGCAGGCCUUCUCUGCGGGGAGACACGACAUUGUCCUCCUAGGGUCCAGCGGUGGGCAGGCCUCUGCUGAUUUUCUUUUUUUUCCUCUCUUUUUUUCUUUUUAGGGCUGCACCUGUAGCAUAUGGAAGUUUCUAGGCUAGGGAUGGAAUCAGAGCUGUAGCUGCUGGCCUCACCCAGGCCACAGCCGCAGCAACACCAGAUCUGAGCUGGUCUGCAACUUACACCAUAGCUCAGGGCAGCAACGGAUCCUUUAACCUGCUGAGCAAGGCCAGGGAUCGAACCAAUGUCCUCAUGGAUACUAGUUAGGUUUGUUACUGCUGAGCCAUGAGGGGAACUCUGAGGUUGAUUUUCUUAUUGGAAUGCUUUGACUCACUCCUGGAGCUUUGACACAGCUGUAGAUGUGCGCUAGUGCUAUACCAAUAAAAUGUGUGGAUUAAAAAGACCCUUGUUGCUUCUCUGAGGCAGCCAUUGAUACCACUGUUGGUAGGAGAGACUGUCCCAGGUUCCAAUCACUCUAAUAUGGGUUUUGAAAACAUUUUUUUUCUAGGAAGAUUACUUCUCCUGGCACUCAAAAAGACUCCGAUUCUUUUGUCCUCAGUGAUUUACACUGGUCCCCUUUUAAUGUGUCCCUGUAAAUCACUACUGUUCUUAGAGUUUGGGAAUUAUCUUUGAGAUGGUGAUUGUAUGGUAAGAGUCAUCCAAUAUUUUGUUAUUUGUGGCAUUCUGGAAGUGUGUUACGUAUGACAGAGUGAUAAGGACCAGAAAGGGCAGAAAUAGAAACUUUACACUGAUUUCAUUUAAGAAAACAUAAAUUUUAAAGGAACAUUUGAUCUGAGGCAUUGAAUAAACUUCAGUUCUGCUAGCCACUUUGUCCUUUGAAAAUUGUUUACCAACCUGUGGGAUUAUAACUAGAGGCAUUUGCUAAUGUAUUUGCAGUGACUGCUGAAAUAAUUCAAAUUUAUUGACCAUGGUAGGAUAUUAAAUAUUUAUCUUUUCUGCUUAGUGCCUGUAGUGAAAUAGCAUAUAAGUUAAUGGUUAAUGGCUUAUAGGCUAUUAUUUCUGAAAUACUAUCUUCAUGUACUUUAUCCAGUGACAUUACUUUUAUUUUGCGUGUGUUACAAAGCAUAUUUGGAAUCUCUCUUACAUAAAUUUUGCUCUUAGCUAAACAAUAUUCCAGAAGAGAUUUUUAACUGUAAAGUGUGUGUGUGUGUGCAUAAUAACUGCAAAGAGAGAAAAGUAUGUUAAGUUGUGGGAUGAGGAGAAAUCUGUCUUUAAAAAAAAAUCCAAUAGAAUGAAAUCAUAAUUUAUUAAUAUUACUAUGUGUGUGUUUUGGCACAUCUGCAAUGUCCACUGUAUUCUAGAAUGUUAAAAGGUUGGCAGUUAAUUCAGCAUAUGAGAAUCUAGCAAUCAUAUUAGGUUAAUGUUAGGAUGAUUAAAAUGUAUUUAUAGGUAUAGAUCAGAGAAAGAAGCUAACUUAUUUAGGUUUCCUUCAAAGUAAUGAUAAUGUAAUAUUAAAACUCAAAACGUCUUAACAUGAAAGUAAUUCUAUUUGCAUUGGUGUAAAUAUUGGGAGGAACAUAAAGCAGUAUUGGCAAGUGUUAAAUUUCAAGUGAAAUAAUUUAUAGAGUUAUUUUCAAUUUUCUGAAAACUAGAUCUUCAAAACUGACUUAAAAAAGAUAAUCAGAGAAGCUCUGAUUUUCUACAAGCCCUAAGGGACUGUUUGAGGAGUUUUUGUUUUGUUUUGCUAUUACAUUAGUUUUCAAGAUCCUGAAAAUGACUAUAUUAGUGUGGCUAAUUAAAAAAUUUAGAUAUUUUGAAUUUUAGGAUUACAGGGAACUUAACUGUUGUUAGUUUGUCAAAAACACAAAUCAUUUAGAAAAGGUUGGCUGGUUGAAUAAUUACUUCUGUAUGUGAUAUUGUUUUAUGUGCACAAUCAGGUAUAUUAUUGAGUUCCAUAGUAGUUAAUAUAACAACAAACUUAAAAAAAAAUGCUUCAAAUCCUACCAUCAUUCCAAAGAAAUUGUUAAUUUUUUUGAGAGAGAAGAAUUCUAGGAGCUUUUAUCAAUUUUGCCUUGGAAGUCACAGUCACAGAAAGAGAUCUGUUCUGAAUUAUAAGUAUUUGUAUACUUGAAGUGUAACAUUUGCACAAAACACAUUGGGAAGACAACAUGGUAUUGACCAUGAAUGCAUAUGAGUACUGGAAAGUUUGGCCUAAGGUGUUUCUUUUGUCCUUUAUAUAUCUGCCAGGGUUGUGGAAAAUCUUAGAGCUUACUCUCCAUACUCUGUUUUACCAGAGGUUAGAAUUCACUAAUUAAAAGACUAUAAACAAGGGUGAAGCCAGCAAGUAAUAUUACAAGUAAUAAAUAGAAACAUUUAUGAAUAAUAUCUGUUUUCUUAUCUUUGUUUAAAUAAUAUUCAUUAGGGAGUUCCCAUUGUGGUGCAUAGGAAACAAACCCGACUAGUGUCUAUGAGGAUGCGGGUUUGAGCCCUGGUCUCGCUCAGUGGGCUAAUGAUCCAGCAUUGCCCUGAGUGGUGGUGUAGGUUGCAGACACAGCUUAGAUCGACUUUGCUGUGGCUGUGGUGUAGUUCUGAUUUGACCCCUAGUCCAGAAACUUCUAUGUGCUGCACGUGUGGCCCUAAACAGACCCCCCCCCCCCAAAAAAAAAUCAUUGGUAUUUAACAAAUCAAUGAGGAUGCUUUUUUUUCCUGGGCAUGCAUCAUUACAGACAGUUUUGCUGACUUUUUAGUGAUGGAUACUUUGAUUUGUGCUUGGUAUACGGUAUACGGAGAAACAUACACAUUGAGAGACUGGUUGAGGUACUAGGACUUAAUUGUACCUUGGCAGUAGUAUUCAUUUUCAUAGCACUACAUGUUCAUUUUACAAACACCUGUAUAGUGCUUACUAGGGGCAAGCAUUGUUCUAAGUGCUUCAAUAAUAUUUCCUCAUUUACCUAAACCCUGACAACAGCCUCUGGUUUCUGGUGGGUAUGAUUAUUACCCCAUUUUGCAGAUGGUCCCUGGUGUGGACUGGUCAAAUCUCGGAUGUCUGCCUCUGCAGUUUGUGCUCUUACUCAGUGUCCUCUGCUCCUGUGAAGAAAGCUCUUUCUCAGAAAGCUGGGUUGGAAUUCUUUCCUUUGUCAGAUCCCUUCCUCCCAUGGUCUUGCUGACCAGACAAAGAGCCCUGGGCAGGGUGUGCUGGCAGGAGUUCUUACCGUCUCGUUCUUCUAGAUGUCUGGGAGGCAGGCAGUGUGACAGCUUCUGACCAUGAGUGGCCCUGAUCUGACUUUGGGAGCAGUUGUUCGUAAAUCUUUGUCCUACAGUAGGAACUUUCCGUAUCAAGAAUGAAUUCUACCCUCUCAUCCCAGAGAUCUAGGGCAAAGAGUGAGAGCUGUGUCUAAGUUCAUGGUUGAAACUCGGAACAUGGAAGAAGAAGAGAGAGGCAGUACUGUUACUUGAUGGAAAAUCUGAGCCUCACGUUGAAUAUGACAAGUGCUAGUGUUAGAGGAACUACUUUUCUCAAGGAAAAAAACAUGUAGCAUGUUUCUUUGCUACAUGCUCCAGGAUGAGCAGUAGUGGGCUCAUUUGUUUCUGAUUUUGUGUGUGUGUGUGUGUGCGCAUGCAGGCGCGCGCACGCGUGUGCACACGUGCGUGUGUGUAUGCUCAUGCUCGUGUAUACACAUAGUAGACAUUACUCUUAAAGUCCCUAUUUGGUCCAUACCAUGUGUUAAAAAAUAUUUACAAGUUUUUGUUAGCACUAAACAGUAAUGUGUGAGUAGCUCCUGGUCCGUGGCAUCAGUAUUUUUAAGGAGCACUUGUCUCUGAGUUUGAGCUGCUUUGUAAGGUAACUUUCUUCCUUUGGAGGUACCUUGUUCUCUUUCCUCACAGCCCCUCAGGAGUGACUCGAGUUUUCUCAAAACCACAAACACUAUUCAUAGUAGCCAAAAGAUGGAAACAACUCAGUGUCUACUGAGGAUGAAUAAAUAAAUGAAGUGUGAUCUCUGCAUGCAGUGGAAUACUAUUCAGCCUUGAAAAAGGAAGGAAAUUCUGACAACAUUGAUAAAUCUCGAGAACACCAGUAUGUUGAAUGAAAUAAGCCAGUCACAAACAGCUUAUAUACUUCAGGAUUACACGCAGGUGACGUACUUAGAGUAAAUUCAUAGAGUCAGAAAGUAGAAUGGUGAUUGCCGGGGAUGAAAGGCUGUGAGGAAUGAAAAUGGGGAAUUACCGUUUAAUGACUAGAGGGUUUCAGUUUUGUAAGGGCAAGAAUUCUGGAAGAUGGUUGCACAACCAUUUGAAUGCCCUUAUCACUGUUCAUCUGUAUGUGUAAAAGUGGUUAAGACGGCAAAAUUUAUGUUUAAAUUAAAACAACAACAACAAACCUUUCAGAUUUAGUGUAAAAUCUGUUCAGCUGUUGUAGUGUAAUGUUUUCAUUGACAGACACUUGCUGGUAGCAGCUGGCUCUACACUGGUUGAGAGCAGCUGGCUCAGCUCUCCUUUCUAGGGAACAGGUAUUAUGGUUCGAGUGUGAAUGUGUUACAUUCUGGAGAAAAGCUUAUUGUGGACACUGAAAGAAGGAGUAAGCACACAUGGGGGCAGUGUUCGCAGAGCUCAUGGAGACAGGAGCGAGGUGAAAAUGACCUUGGUUUACGUGGGUAGAGAGAACUGAUGUGACCAAAACAAGUGUAUUAAGUGCUGUCCACAGUCUUGAUUUUUAAAAGCUUUCACUUUUUGAUAAGUUUUUUGUCAUUUUGCUUAUAUUUUACUUCUUACCACGUCUGCCAGGUUGAGUGUUUAAUAGCUUCUGCCAGGGAUUCAGAUACAUUCCAUUUAUUGGUAUUUAUUAUAACAAGUGUUUUCAAGAAAGGUACUGUUGGAGUUCCCGCUGUGGUAUAGUAGGCUAAGGAUCCAGUGUUAAUUUUGCAGCAGCUUGUUUCUCUGCUGAGACAUGGGUUUGAUCCCUCGCCUGGUGCAUUAGGUUAAGGAUCCAGCAUUCCUGCAGCUGCGGCUUGUAUUCAGUCCCUGGCCUGGGAACUACUUCCAUAUGCU